AGGAAACAGGCAGAGAGACCGCUGAAGUGAACCGGGGCUUGCCAGGGGUGGGCGGCAGCCGAGGCGGCCAGAAAAGAACUUUGCAGGAAGAAAGGAAAUUGUGCUAAGACGUCCUUCUAUGGCCGCUUCAGGCACUUCUUGGAUAUCAUCGACCCUCGCACACUCUUUGUCACUGAGGCUGGAGUGCGGUAGCGUGAUCUCAGCUCACUGUAACCUCUACCUCCCAGGUUCAAGCGAUUUUCCUGCCUCAGCCUCCUGAGUAGCUGGGAUUACAGAGACGUCUCAGAGAGGCUGUGCAGCUGCUGGAGGACUAUAAGCAUGGGACCCUGCGCCCGGGGGUCACCAAUGAACAGCUCUGGAGUGCACAGAAAAUCAAGCAGGCUAUUCUACAUCCGGACACCAAUGAGAAGAUCUUCAUGCCA
rnacentral:sRNA from 1 species